GUCCACGCCGUAAACGAUGAAUACUAGGUGUUGGCAGGCAGGGCCUGUCGGUGCCGCAGCAAACGCAAUAAGUAUUCCACCUGGGGAGUACGUUCGCAAGAAUGAAACUCAAAUGAAUUGACGGGGACCCGCACAAGCGGUGGAGCAUGUGGUUUAAUUCGAAGCAACGCGAAGAACCUUACCAAGUCUUGACAUCCCGGUGACAGAACAUGUAAUGUGUUUUCCCUCGGGGCACCGGUGACAGGUGGUGCAUGGUUGUCGU
rnacentral:rRNA from 1 species